CCCACAUACAAGAAUUCAAGCUGGUUUUCCAGGGUGGAGACCAUGAAGAAAUCCCAAUCGGAUUCACUGGAAUUCAUUUGGGUACGGUGAAGAAGAUGCCUGUGAUGAUACGCGGUUGAACAUUGUUUUCACAUUUAAUGAAGUAAUGGCUAGUGGACCGGGUCACCUGACAGUACCAGUCUACCUACAGGCUCA
rnacentral:lncRNA from 1 species